rnacentral:tRNA from 1 species
UAGCUCAGCUGGCUAGAGCAUUCGGUUCAUACCCGAAGGGUCGUAGGUUCAAGUCCUAU